ACUCGAGUGGCAACGGGUGAGUAACACGUGGGUGAUCUGCCCUGCACUUCGGGAUAAGCCUGGGAAACUGGGUCUAAUACCGGAUAGGAGCCAUUUUUAGUGUGAUGGUUGGAAAGUUUUUCGGUGUAGGAUGAGCUCGCGGCCUAUCAGCUUGUUGGUGGGGUAAUGGCCUACCAAGGCGGCGACGGGUAGCCGGCCUGAGAGGGUGGACGGCCACAUUGGGACUGAGAUACGGCCAG
rnacentral:rRNA from 1 species